rnacentral:siRNA from 1 species
UUGCGGGCGGUAGCGGUUA